rnacentral:rRNA from 1 species
AUUGAACGCUGGCGGCAGGCCUAACACAUGCAAGUCGAGCGGAUGAAGGGAGCUUGCUCCUGGCUUCAGCGGCGGACGGGUGUGUAAUGCCUAGGAAUCUGCCUGGUAGUGGGGGAUAACGUCCGGAAACGGGCGCUAAUACCGCAUACGUCCUGAGGGAGAAAGUGGGGGAUCUUCGGACCUCACGCUAUCAGAUGAGCCUAGGUCGGAUUAGCUAGUUGGUGGGGUAAACGCCUACCAAGGCGACGAUCCGUAACUGGUCUGAGAGGAUGAUCAGUCACACUGGAACUGAGACACGGUCCAGACUCCUACGGGAGGCAGCAGUGGGGAAUAUUGGACAAUGGGCGAAAGCCUGAUCCAGCCAUGCCGCGUGUGUGAAGAAGGUCUUCGGAUUGUAAAGCACCUUAGGUUGGGAGGAAGGGCAGUAAGUUAAUACCUUGCUGUUUUGACGGUACCAACAGAAUAAGCACCGGCUAACUACGUG